UACAUUUUACCGCCGGGUAACGUCUUAUUUAUUUCAGUAGGCCUUUGUUGAAAUAAUAUAAGACGUUUUUUUUGG
rnacentral:ncRNA from 1 species